rnacentral:rRNA from 1 species
GGGCUUGACAUCCCACGAACCUGCCUGAAAGGGCGGGGUGCCCGCAAGGGAGCGUGGAGACAGGUGGUGCAUGGCUGUCGUCAGCUCGUGUCGUGAGAUGUUGGGUUAAGUCCCGCAACGAGCGCAACCCUCACCCCUGGUUGCCACCGGGUAAUGCCGAGCACUCGAGGGGAACUGCCAGCGUCAAGCUGGAGGAAGGCGGGGAUGACGUCAAGUCAUCAUGCCCCUUACGCCCUGGGCUACACACGUGCUACAAUGGCCGGUACAAAGGGACGCAAGACCGCGAGGUGGAGCUAAUCCCAAAAAGCCGGUCUAAGUUCAGAUUGCAGUCUGCAACUCGACUGCAUGAAGGAGGAAUCGCUAGUAAUCGCGCAUCAGCUCGGCGCGGUGAAUACGUUCCCGGGCCUUGUACACACCGCCCGUCACACCACGAAAGCUGUCUGUACUCGAAGUCGCUGAGA